rnacentral:lncRNA from 1 species
UCGGCGGAUGAGAGCCUCGAUCUCGUCCCGAAGCUGGAAGCAGUCUUCGGUGUCGUGGCCGUGGUCCCGGUGGUACUCACAGUACGCCCGAGAGGGCCUCCUCCCAGGGAUCUUCUUCAUCUGUCUCGGGACCGGGAGGUCCUCUCGCCCCUUGAUUUCCAUGAGGAUCUGGGCCCGGGGAGUCAGGAGAGGAGUGUACCGGUUGAAACGUCGGGGCGGAGAACGAGGGCGUAGGGCGCCGUGGUUCCUCGCCGGCGACGGGCUUCUGCGCCGACGUUGAGGCGUCGGGCUCCUCCCCUGGCGUGCCUCUUUUCGCCUUUUCUUCCCGAGCUUUGGAGGGAUCUCGGCGGCCUCCUUGCUCCGGUGGGCGGCCGCCUCCUCGGCGUCCGCAUACUGGUUCGCCCGGGACAACAGCUCCGGGAAGCUCCGCGGCAGGCGUUUGUCCAGGGAGAAGGUGAGUCUGCCCUUUCGGAAGCCACGCUUCAGGGCUGAAAGAGCCACCUCCUGGCUCAGGUUCCGGACUUCCAACGUAG